GGUGAGAGUGGCGGAAGGGCGAGGAACACGUGGGCGAACCUGCUUUGAGGUGGGGAAGACCGCUGGAAACGGCGGCUAAUACCGAAUGUAGCGCCCGCUCGCAUGAGCGGAGCGCCAAAGGGGGCGAAAGCUCCCCCUCUUCGAGGGGCCCGCGCACCAUCAGCUUGUUGGCGGGGUAACGGCCCACCAAGGCUCACGGUUAGCUGGUCUGAGAGGAUGGCCAGCCGCACUGGGACUGAGAUACUGCCCAGACUCCUACGGGAGGCUGCAGUCGAGGAUCAUUUGCAAUGGGCGAAAGCCUGACAAUGCGGCGCUGCGUGGAGGAUGAAGGCCCUCGGGUUGUAAACUCCUGUCAUGGGGGAAAAGGAAACCCUGCCCAAUACGCAGGGAAUUUGAUGGUACCCCAAGAGGAAGCGACGGCUAACUCUGUGCCAGCAGCGGC
rnacentral:rRNA from 1 species